AUGACACUGUCACUGCUCUGCUCCCUUUUCCUACUCGCCGCCCCAUCAGGUGUCCUCUCUCAGGUGCAGCUGGUCCAGUCCGGCCCAGGAGCGGUGAAGCCCGGGGAGACCCUCACGCUGAGCUGCGCUGUCUCGGGUUACACCAUCACCAGUGGUUACGGCUGGCACUGGAUCCGGCAGCCCCCAGGGACAGGGCUGGAGUGGCUGGGACGGGGAUAUUACAGCGGUUCCACGUGGAACACGAACUACGCCUCCUCCUUCCAGAGCCGAAUCACCAUCUCCACUGACUCCUCCAAGAACCAGUUCUCCCUGCAGCUCCGCGCGCUGACAGCUGCAGACACCGCCGUGUAUUACUGCGCCAGAGACACAGUGACACAGAGCAGAGCAGGGACCGGACAAAAACGGGAAGCGGAGCCUACAUAG